rnacentral:rRNA from 1 species
CAGUCGCCACGGUAAUACGAAGGGUGCAAGCGUUACUCGGAAUUACUGGGCGUAAAGCGUGCGUAGGUGGUGGUUUAAGUCCGUUGUGAAAGCCCUGGGCUCAACCUGGGAAUUGCAGUGGAUACUGGGUCACUAGAGUGUGGUAGAGGAUAGUGGAAUUUCCGGUGUAGCAGUGAAAUGCGUAGAGAUCGGAAGGAACAUCUGUGGCGAAGGCGACUAUCUGGGCCAACACUGACACUGAGGCACGAAAGCGUGGGGAGCAAACAGGAUUAGAUACCCACGUAGUCCCUGUCUCUUAUAA